rnacentral:tRNA from 1 species
GUUCUUAUAGUUGAAGUACAACGGUGGUUUUUCAUGCCAUUAGUCACGGUGAGAGGCCGUGUAGGAAUA